AGGGUUCGAUUAUGGCUCAGGACGAACGCUGGCGGCGUGCUUAACACAUGCAAGUCGAGCGGGGAUAUCUGGAGUGCUUGCACACUGGAUAUUCCAGCGGCGGACGGGUGAGUAACGCGUGAACAAUCUGUCCCAUACAGGGGGAUAACAGAUGGAAACAUCUGCUAAUACCGCAUAAGACCACGAUGCCACAUGGCGACGGGGUAAAAGGAGCAAUCCGGUAUGGGGUGAGUUCGCGUCCGAUUAGCUAGUUGGCGAGGUAACGGCCCACCAAGGCGACGAUCGGUAGCCGACCUGAGAGGGUGAUCGGCCACACUGGAACUGAGAGACGGUCCAG
rnacentral:rRNA from 1 species